AAGGCAUGUGCAUCGAGGAAGAGAGCGGGUUUUCAUCGGACUUGGCUACUAUAGCCGAGCGCUUCGCUUCUUCCUCUACCUAUCCAACAAUAAUUCAAUUCAAUCCAAAUGCAAAUGGGUUGUACGUUGUUGGGUGCUAAUCACUCUCUCAAUCCAAAACCCAGUCAAGUCUGCCUCUCUCUCUCUCUCAAACGACCUCCGCGUGCAUCUCCAAUACUGCUCCUCUCUCUCAAUCAAAACUUUCUCUUCUUUUUAGUCUGGGUUGUUACAAAAUCCGACAACAUUAGAAUUACGUAUACGUGGUGCCUGAGUUCUCCGACGACGAUAAUCAAAUAACUGUCUGGUUCUUUUCUCAAACAAUCCCCACCCACUUUUUUUCAUCCUGCAAACUACAACACUCUGCACGAGGAUGGUAGUUUUAGGUUAAUCUAGAACUUUGAUUGCAUGGACUUCUUGGACUUCUUAUAAUAAGUUUCAAGUUAUUCAGUAGCAAGCAGCUUUGGAGGACAGUAAAAAUAAGGUCAACUUACGUUUUAUAGCCUUGGAGGCUUGGAUUGGAGCAUUAGAAUUUGAGAUUGUUGAUAAAGCUUUUCUAAAGCAGCUCAAACUGUUCCAAAGUUAAUUUUUUCAACUUAGCUUUCAUUUUGUUAUUAA